GAUAAACGCUGGCGGCGCACAUAAGACAUGCAAGUCGAACGGACCAAAACUUUAGUUUACUAUAGUAGAGGUUAGUGGCGGACUGGUGAGUAACACGUAAGCAAUCUGCCUAUCAGAGGGGAACAACAGUUAGAAAUGACUGCUAAUACCGCAUAUGCCUAAGUAACACAUGUUACAAUAGGGAAAGGAGCAAUCCGCUGAUAGAUGAGCUUGCGUCUGAUUAGAUAGUUGGUGGGGUAACGGCCUACCAAGUCGACGAUCAGUAGCCGGACUGAGAGGUUGAACGGCCACAUUGGGACUGAGAUACGGCCCAGACUCCUACGGGAGGCAGCAGUCGGGAAUAUUGCGCAAUGGAGGAAACUCUGACGCAGUGACGCCGCGUGCAGGAAGAAGGUUUUCGGAUCGUAAACUCCUGUCCUCGGGGAAGAGCAGAAGACGGUACCUGAGGAGGAAGCCCCGGCUAACUACGUG
rnacentral:rRNA from 1 species